rnacentral:lncRNA from 1 species
UCUAAACGAACGCAUUGACCUUCUAUUUUUGAUCGUCAGCAACUACGCUAUUGUUCAUAUCAGGUCGAUUCACACAUAGAUCUGUCUUGUCGCCCACUACCGCUUUAAUCUUCUUCUACAGCCAGUUUGCCACGUCUCUUUUCCUCUUCUUCUUCUUCUUUUUCUUUGCUUUCUUAUUCUUUUUAUUCUUCUUCUAAUUCUCUCCUCCACCACCUCUCUCUCCUACUGUGUCUUCCUUCCGCCAUGCCUCUCUCUCUCCUUUCCCUUCUAGCUGCCAACUCUCCCAUCAGCCUUCCUUU